rnacentral:rRNA from 1 species
GAUGAACGCUGGCGGCGUGCCUAAUACAUGCAAGUCGAGCGAACGGACGAGAAGCUUGCUUCUCUGAUGUUAGCGGCGGACGGGUGAGUAACACGUGGAUAACCUACCUAUAAGACUGGGAUAACUUCGGGAAACCGGAGCUAAUACCGGAUAAUAUUUUGAACCGCAUGGUUCAAAAGUGAAAGACGGUCUUGCUGUCACUUAUAGAUGGAUCCGCGCUGCAUUAGCUAGUUGGUAAGGUAACGGCUUACCAAGGCAACGAUGCAUAGCCGACCUGAGAGGGUGAUCGGCCACACUGGAACUGAGACACGGUCCAGACUCCUACGGGAGGCAGCAGUAGGGAAUCUUCCGCAAUGGGCGAAAGCCUGACGGAGCAACGCCGCGUGAGUGAUGAAGGUCUUCGGAUCGUAAAACUCUGUUAUUAGGGAAGAACAUAUGUGUAAGUAACUGUGCACAUCUUGACGGUACCUAAUCAGAAAGCCACGGCUAACUACGUGCCAGCAGCCGCGGUAAUACGUAGGUGGCAAGCGUUAUCCGGAAUUAUUGGGCGUAAAGCGCGCGUAGCGGUUUUUUAAGUCUGAUGUGAAAGCCCACGGCUCAACCGUGGAGGGUCAUUGGAAACUGGAAAACUUGAGUGCAGAAGAGGAAAGUGGAAUUCCAUGUGUAGCGGUGAAAUGCGCAGAGAUAUGGAGGAACACCAGUGGCGAAGGCGACUUUCUGGUCUGUAACUGACGCUGAUGUGCGAAAGCGUGGGGAUCAAACAGGAUUAGAUACCCUGGUAGUCCACGCCGUAAACGAUGAGUGCUAAGUGUUAGGGGGUUUCCGCCCCUUAGUGCUGCAGCUAACGCAUUAAGCACUCCGCCUGGGGAGUACGACCGCAAGGUUGAAACUCAAAGGAAUUGACGGGGACCCGCACAAGCGGUGGAGCAUGUGGUUUAAUUCGAAGCAACGCGAAGAACCUUACCAAAUCUUGACAUCCUUUGACAACUCUAGAGAUAGAGCCUUCCCCUUCGGGGGACAAAGUGACAGGUGGUGCAUGGUUGUCGUCAGCUAGUGUCGUGAGAUGUUGGGUUAAGUCCCGCAACGAGCGCAACCCUUAAGCUUAGUUGCCAUCAUUAAGUUGGGCACUCUAAGUUGACUGCCGGUGACAAACCGGAGGAAGGUGGGGAUGACGUCAAAUCAUCAUGCCCCUUAUGAUUUGGGCUACAUACGUGCUACAAUGGACAAUACAAAGGGCAGCGAAACCGCGAGGUCAAGCAAAUCCCAUAAAGUUGUUCUCAGUUCGGAUUGUAGUCUGCAACUCGACUACAUGAAGCUGGAAUCGCUAGUAAUCGUAGAUCAGCAUGCUACGGUGAAUACGUUCCCGGGUCU